UUGUAGUGGGUCCAUGAUAUUGGUGGUCCUGAUAAUCUUGGAAGUAAACUCCUCAAGCGAAAAAAAGAUGAAAAACUCCCGGUGUUUGUUCCCCCGAAGCAAACGGUGGAAGCUUUACUUGAAUCCGGGUAUUCGCUCAUCAAGGAACAGCAGCUGAUUAUGGAAAGUAAACUUUCAAAGGAGUACAUGAAGAACAUGGAUGACUAACAAUCAGAAAAGCUGUAGUAGCCAUGGCACACAAAAUGGUGAAUAUGGUGCAGAAGCGAAAUGAAGUGUGAACGUGGUUGACUUUUUGACUUUGAAUAAGGCAAGGUUUCUUGUAAAAUUUGAAUCCAAUAUUUGAUUGUUUUAAUCAUCAA